rnacentral:rRNA from 1 species
UACAGAGGUCUCAAGCGUUGUUCGGAUUCAUUGGGCGUAAAGGGUGCGUAGGCGGCGCGGUAAGUCGGGUGUGAAAUCUCGGGGCUUAACUCCGAAACUGCAUUCGAUACUGCCGUGCUUGAGGACUGGAGAGGAGACUGGGAAAUUUACGGUGUAGCGGUGAAAUGCGUGGAUAUCGUAAGGAAGACCAGUGGCGAAGGCGGGUCUCUGGACAGUUCCUGACGCUGAGGGCAC